AGUCAGUCGUGUCUGGGAGGCUCAGCCGGUUCUGCCGGUGUAUUCCUCUCAGACGGGUCAACAUCAGUUUUGUCCGACGGAUAAUGGCGGCGGGAAAGUAGCACCUCCGGGUGUGUUAUAGCCCGCUGUCGCAUACGCCGGAUGAGACUGAGGCAUGCAGCUCGCCUUUAUGGCAGGGGUUCGCCCACUUUCGAGCUUAGGAUGUUGACGUAAUGGCUUUAAACGACCCGUCUUGA
rnacentral:rRNA from 1 species